rnacentral:rRNA from 1 species
AGCUCCAAUAGCGUAUAUUAAAGUUGUUGCAGUUAAAAAGCUCGUAGUUGGACCUAUGACAAGACCGUUUGGUCUGUCGCAAGACAGUACUGAGUGCGUCGCGUCACUAUGCUGGGGAACUGCUCAAAAGGCAGAGAACCAGAGAUUACUUUGAAGAAAUUAGAGUGUUUAAAGCAGGCAUAAGCUUGAAUACAUUAGCAUGGAAUAAUAAGAUAGGACUGUGGUCUUAUUUUGUUGGUUUGAAGAUCGCAGUAAUGAUUAAUAGGGAUAGUUGGGGGCAUUUGUAUUCAGUAGUCAGAGGUGAAAUUCUUGGAUUUACUGAAGACAAACUAAUGCGAAAGCAUUUGCCAAGGAUGUUUUCA